ACGGAGGGGGCUAGCGUUGUUCGGAAUUACUGGGCGUAAAGCGUGCGUAGGCGGAUUAUUAAGUUAGGGGUGAAAUCCCGGGGCUCAACCUCGGAACUGCCUCUAAAACUGGUAAUCUAGAGAUAUGGAGAGGUAAGUGGAAUUCCUAGUGUAGAGGUGAAAUUCGUAGAUAUUAGGAGGAACACCAGAGGCGAAGGCGGCUUACUGGACAUAUACUGACGCUGAGGCACGAAAGUGUGGGUAGCAAACAGG
rnacentral:rRNA from 1 species